rnacentral:rRNA from 1 species
UACGGGGGGAGCAAGCGUUGUUCGGCUUUACUGGGCGUAAAGGGCGCGUAGGCGGUCGUGACAAGUCACUUGUGAAAUCUCCGGGCUUAACUCGGAACGGUCAAGUGAUACUGUCGGACUAGAGUACAGAAGGGGCAACUGGAAUUCUCGGUGUAGCGGUGAAAUGCGUAGAUAUCGAGAGGAACACCUGCGGCGAAGGCGGGUUGCUGGGCUGAUACUGACGCUGAGGCGCGAAAGCCAGGGGAGCGAACGGG